AUGCCCGCGGGUAGUACGGCAUCGGCUCGCGCGAAAGCGUCAGAACCGCGCAUGUGCAAUAAACGAGGCGAGACCCGGAAGUUGAAAGAAAUACGGAGGAAAAAGCCAAUGAGCUGCGCCCGUCCCGGAGAAAGGCGAUGACAGCCACUGCACACGCGUUGACUCGCUCAUGAUUCUUGACUUGCAACCACAAUUGAGCCCAAAAUUUCUGUUGCUAAGUGAGACAUUUGUUAGAUGAAACUCAAAUAUUUUGGUCACCUAAUGAGAAGGAAGGACUCACUGGAGAAGAGCCUAAUGCUGGGAAUGAUUGAGGGCAAAAGAAGAAUGGGACGACAGAGAAUGAGGUGGCUGGAUGGAGUCACUGAAGCGGGCGGCGUGAGAUUAAAUGGACUCCAGAGGAUGGUAGAGGAAAGGAAGGCCUGGAAGAACGUUGUCCAUGAGAUCGCAAUAGGUCAGACACGACUUCGCAACUAACAACAACAACAAAUGCAUUUUGUAUCUUUUUAUAGAAUGUAUACUUGUAUUUUGUUCCUUUUGUUCUUUUUUUUUUUUUUUGUUAUAAUUUUGACAGAAAUCCAUUGCAUUCUGAAUACCGGUAGGUGCAAAACUUAGACAAGAGAUCUUGCUUAUAAGCAUCCUGACAUCAUCUGCUUGGAUCAAUGUAGGAACAGCAUUUUUUCCAAUACAGAUAGUUCUUGACUUAUGACCGGUCACUUAGUAACCAUUUUAAGUUAUGACGAACCCUGAAAAAGUGACUUUGGAUUCAGAGAUCUGAUUUUCCCCCCCCCCAGUCAUGUGACCACAUUUUGGCCGGUCAUUAACUGGCCUGCAUUUACGCCUGUUUGCAGUGUUCUGUGGUCAUGGGACCCCAAUUUAUGAGGUUUUUGUCAGAAAACAGGCAUUUACUUCCAGUUUCUAGAAAAAUUGCCCCAUAGUGAACCCCUGCAUUUGCUUUAUGGCUGCUGCAAAAGGAGUCAUAAAAUUGGUGUCAGAUUUAAUGACCAUCAUGACCUAUGAUCAUAAUUAGAGGCUCAAUUACAAUUUUAAAACAAGGAUUACGCGUAUGAUUUUAUUAAAUAUUAAAACCACUGCAAUUAACAUCACUUGAAAGGCAUUACAUAUAAUUAUGUAAUAUGAUAUUAAAUGGUAUAAUUAUA